UACAGAGGUCCCAAACGUUGUUCGGAUUCACUGGGCGUAAAGGGUGCGUAGGUGGUGGGGUAAGUCGGAUGUGAAAGCUCGGAGCUCAACUCCGAAAUGGCAUUGGAAACUACCCUGCUAGAGGAUUGGAGGGGGGACUGGAAUACUUGGUGUAGCAGUGAAAUGCGUAGAUAUCAAGUGGAACACCAGUGGCGAAGGCGAGUCCCUGGACAAUACCUGACACUGAGGCACGAAAGCUAGGGGAGCAAACAGG
rnacentral:rRNA from 1 species